rnacentral:rRNA from 1 species
AUACGGAGGAUCCGAGCGUUAUCCGGAUUUAUUGGGUUUAAAGGGUGCGCAGGCGGGAGAUUAAGUCGGCGGUGGAAUUUUGUAGGUCCACUGUAAAAGGGCCUUGGAAACUGGUUUCCUUGGGUGGAGAUGAAGUAGGCGGGAUUUGUGGGGUAGCGGUGGAAUGCAUAGAUAUCACGAGGAACUCCGAUUGCGCAGGCAGCUUACUAAACUACUACUGACGCUCAGGCACGAAGGCGUGGGGAUCAAACAGGAUUAGAUACCCUGGUAGUCCACGCAGUAAACGAUGAUUACUAGCUGUUUGCGAUACAAUGUAAGCGGCUGAGCGAAAGCGUUAAGUAAUCCACCUGGGGAGUACGUUCGCAAGAAUGAAACUCAAAGGAAUUGGCGGGG